GUUUACGGCCAUACCACCCUGAGAACGCCCGAUCUCGUCUGAUCUCGGAAGCUAAGCAGGGUCGGGCCUGGUUAGUACUUGGAUGGGAGGCCGCCUGGGAAUACCAGGUGCUGUAAGCC
rnacentral:rRNA from 1 species